GAUGAACGCUGGCGGCGUGCCUAAUACAUGCCAGUCGAGCGAACAGACGAGGAGCUUGCUCCUCUGACGUUAGCGGCGGACGGGUGAGUAACACGUGGAUAACCUACCUAUAAGACUGGGAUAACUUCGGGAAACCGGAGCUAAUACCGGAUAAUAUAUUGAACCGCAUGGUUCAAUAGUGAAAGACGGUUUUGCUGUCACUUAUAGAUGGAUCCGCGCCGCAUUAGCUAGUUGGUAAGGUAACGGCUUACCAAGGCAACGAUGGGUAGCCGACCUGAGAGAGGGGACGGCAAAACUGGAGCGGAGGGACGGCAGAGAGUCCAACGGGAGGCAGCGAUGGGGAAUCUUAGGGAAUGGGCGAAGGCCGGACGGAGCAACGCAGGGGGAAUGAUGAAGGUCUUCGGAUGGUAGAACGCUGUAAUUAGUAAAGAGCAAAAGCGCAAUUACCUAUGCACGUCUUGACGGUGCCUAAUCAGAAGGCCCGGGCUAACUCCGUG
rnacentral:rRNA from 1 species